GACGAACGCUGGCGGCGCGCUUAACACAUGCCAGUCGAACGGAAAGGCCUGCUUUCCCUUGUGGAUUGCGGGUACUCGAGUGGCGAACGGGUGAGUAACACGUGAGUGAUCUGCCCCCAACUUGGGUAUAAGCCUGGGAAACUGGGUCUAAUUCCCGAUAGGACUGCAGGGUGGUGCCUGUGGUGGAAAACGAUUUUCUAGUGGUUGGGGAUGAGCUCGCGGCCUAUCAGCUUGUGGGUGGGGUAAUGGCCUACCAAGGCGGCGACGGGUAGCCGGCCUGAGAGGGGGGACGGCCACAUUGGGACUGGGAUACGGCCCAGACUCCUACGGGAGGCAGCAGUGGGGAAUAUUGCACAAUGGGCGGAAGCCUGAUGCAGCGACGCCGCGUGGGGGAUGACGGCCUUCGGGUUGUAAACUCCUUUCGACCGCGAGGAAGCCACCUGGUUGGAAGGGUGGUGACGGUAGUGGUAGAAGAAGCACCGGCUAACUACGUG
rnacentral:rRNA from 1 species